GGCACCGUCGUCUGCACUGAAGAUCUCAGAGACAACAGCUAAGUGUUUCUGUUGUUCAAAAUUAAAAGAAUAUAAUUUAAUAAUUAACUUAACAGGUUCAAUAACAGGAUAAAAGCUGAGAUAGUCGUGUUUUUAGCUUAUUUGCAUUGCAAACCUCGAAGUGAACAUGGGAACGUUUGUAAUAUUCAAGCUUCAAAGCAAACAACGCAGUAAUUAAACUAACACCUUUAAAAGCCGUAUAGAAGCCAAAAUAGUGUUGUAAUUAAUUUACACUCCCAACCUGAGGAGAGAACAAGUACACGUUAGUAAUAAUCAAACUUCAAAGCAAACAACAGAAUAAUUAAAGAAACAGCUUGUAAAACGGUAUAAAAACCGACAUAGUGAUAGUCUGUAGUUUUACUUUUCAAAGUUAAAAGAAGAAACAUAAAAAUUGAAGAAAGUUGAAAAGUUUUAAAGCAGAGAUUGUCUUUUAUUUUCAGAGAAAAGUUCACAGUUCAGCAUUCAAGAUGGAGGAGAACGGAGGUGGAGGAGAUGAUACAUCACCAGUAUACAAGGAAGGAAACAUUAUUUGAAGAGGAACAGACUUUAACUUCAAUACAAAGACAGAGAGGAAAGGAAACAAGUCUUCAAAUCAGAGGAAGUCUCAUCAGUAAUCUCAGGAGUCCCGUUAGAUUCCUGCAGGACAACAAACAGAAGACAAUUAAACUGUGUCAUUAGGAUCAAACAGCCUCAGCAGGGAGUGUGUGUGUGUGUGUGUGUGUGUGUGUGUGUGUGUGUGUGUGUGUGUGUGUGUGUGUGUGUGUGCGUGCGUGCGUGCAGGUUGUAAUGUUUCAUCAUAUUCACCAAAAACAAACCUAACUGAUGGAUGAACUUUUCUUUUUUAAUGAGGUUAAAUUUAAAGAUCCCCUCCAGACAUGUUUUAAGAUGUAUAUAAA